UACAGAGGUCCCGAGCGUUGUUCGGAUUCACUGGGCGUAAAGGGUGCGUAGGCGGCCAUGCAAGUUUGAUGUGAAAUCCCCGGGCUCAACCUGGGAACUGCAUUUGUGACUGCAUGGCUAGAGUACGGUAGAGGGGGAUGGAAUUCCGCGUGUAGCAGUGAAAUGCGUAGAUAUGCGGAGGAACACCGAUGGCGAAGGCAAUCCCCUGGACCUGUACUGACGCUCAUGCACGAAAGCGUGGGGAGCAAACAGG
rnacentral:rRNA from 1 species